rnacentral:rRNA from 1 species
AGCGAACGCUGGCGGCAGGCCUAACACAUGCAAGUCGAACGAACUCUUCGGAGUUAGUGGCGGACGGGUGAGUAACACGUGGGAACGUGCCUUUUGGUUCGGAAUAACUCAGGGAAACUUGUGCUAAUACCGAAUGUGCCCUUCGGGGGAAAGAUUUAUCGCCAUUAGAGCGGCCCGCGUCUGAUUAGCUAGUUGGUGAGGUAACGGCUCACCAAGGUGACGAUCAGUAGCUGGUCUGAGAGGAUGACCAGCCACACUGGGACUGAGACACGGCCCAGACUCCUACGGGAGGCAGCAGUGGGGAAUCUUGCGCAAUGGGCGAAAGCCUGACGCAGCCAUGCCGCGUGAAUGAUGAAGGUCUUAGGAUUGUAAAAUUCUUUCACCGGGGACGAUAAUGACGGUACCCGGAGAAGAAGCCCCGGCUAACUUCGU